rnacentral:rRNA from 1 species
GAUAAACGCUGGCGGCGCACAUAAGACAUGCAAGUCGAACGAACUUAACUUUAAUAUUUAUAUUGAAGAGCGGUUAGUGGCGGACUGGUGAGUAACGCGUAAGCAAUCUACCUAUUAGAGGGGAAUAACAGUGAGAAAUCACUGCUAAUACCGCAUAUGCCGUGAGUAUCGCAUGAUACAAUCGGGAAAGGAGUAAUCCGCUAAUAGAUGAGCUUGCGUCUGAUUAACUAGUUGGUGUGGUAACGGCACACCAAGGUGACGAUCAGUAGCCGGACUGAGAGGUUGAACGGCCACAUUGGGACUGAGAUACGGCCCAGACUCC